UACGUAGGGGGCUAGCGUUGUCCGGAAUCAUUGGGCGUAAAGAGCGUGUAGGCGGCCCGGUAAGUCCGCUGUGAAAGUCGGGGGCUCAACCCUCGAAUGCCGGUGGAUACUGUCGGGCUAGAGUGCGGAAGAGGCGAGUGGAAUUCCCGGUGUAGCGGUGAAAUGCGCAGAUAUCAGGAGGAACACCGGUGGCGAAGGCGGGUCUCUGGGCCGAUACUGACGCUGAGGAGCGAAAGCGUGGGGAGCAAACAGG
rnacentral:rRNA from 1 species